UGGGGGAUAUUGCACAAUGGGCGAAAGCCUGAUGCAGCGACGCCGCGUGGGGGAUGAAGGCCUUCGGGUUGUAAACUUCUUUUGCUCUGAACAAGGCAUGCUAAUGGGUGUGUUGAGUGUAGGGGUUGAUUAGCGCCGGCUAACUACGUGCCAGCAGCCGCGGUAAUACGUAGGGCGCGAGCGUUGUCCGGAAUUAUUGGGCGUAAAGGGCUUGUAGGUGGCUGGUUGCGUCUGUCGUGAAAGCUCAUGGCUUAACUGUGGGUUUGCGGUGGGUACGGGCGGGCUUGAGUGCAGUAGGGGAGGCUGGAAUUCCUGGUGUAGCGGUGGAAUGCGCAGAUAUCAGGAGGAAUACCGGUGGCGAAGGCGGGUCUCUGGGCUGUUACUGACACUGCGGAGCGAAAGCAUGGGGAGCGAACAGG
rnacentral:rRNA from 1 species